GAUGAACGCUGGCGGCGUGCCUAAUACAUGCAAGUCGAGCGAACGGACGAGAACCUUGCUUCUCUGAUGUUAGCGGCGGACGGGUGAGUAACACGUGGAUAACCUACCUAUAAGACUGGGAUAACUUCGGGAAACCGGAGCUAAUACCGGAUAAUAUUUUGAACCGCAUGGUUCAAAAGUGAAAGACGGUCUUGCUGUCACUUAUAGAUGGAUCCGCGCUGCAUUAGCUAGUUGGUAAGGUAACGGCUUACCAAGGCAACGAUGCAUAGCCGACCUGAGAGGGUGAUCGGCCACACUGGAACUGAGACACGGUCCAGACUCCUACGGGAGGCAGCAGUAGGGAAUCUUCCGCAAUGGGCGAAAGCCUGACGGAGCAACGCCGCGUGAGUGAUGAAGGUCUUCGGAUCGUAAAACUCUGUUAUUAGGGAAGAACAUAUGUGUAAGUAACUGUGCACAUCUUGACGGUACCUAAUCAGAAAGCCACGGCUAACUACGUGCCAGCAGCCGCGGUAAUACGUAGGUGGCAAGCGUUAUCCGGAAUUAUUGGGCGUAAAGCGCGCGUAGGCGGUUUUUUAAGUCUGAUGUGAAAGCCCACGGCUCAACCGUGGAGGGUCAUUGGAAACUGGAAAACUUGAGUGCAGAAGAGGAAAGUGGAAUUCCAUGUGUAGCGGUGAAAUGCGCAGAGAUAUGGAGGAACACCAGUGGCGAAGGCGACUUUCUGGUCUGUAACUGACGCUGAUGUGCGAAAGCGUGGGGAUCAAACAGGAUUAGAUACCCUGGUAGUCCACGCCGUAAACGAUGAGUGCUAAGUGUUAGGGGGUUUCCGCCCCUUAGUGCUGCAGCUAACGCAUUAAGCACUCCGCCUGGGGAGUACGACCGCAAGGUUGAAACUCAAAGGAAUUGACGGGGACCCGCACAAGCGGUGGAGCAUGUGGUUUAAUUCGAAGCAACGCGAAGAACCUUACCAAAUCUUGACAUCCUUUGACAACUCUAGAGAUAGAGCCUUCCCCUUCGGGGGACAAAGUGACAGGUGGUGCAUGGUUGUCGUCAGCUCGUGUCGUGAGAUGUUGGGUUAAGUCCCGCAACGAGCGCAACCCUUAAGCUUAGUUGCCAUCAUUAAGUUGGGCACUCUAAGUUGACUGCCGGUGACAAACCGGAGGAAGGUGGGGAUGACGUCAAAUCAUCAUGCCCCUUAUGAUUUGGGCUACACACGUGCUACAAUGGACAGUACAAAGGGCAGCGAAACCGCGAGGUCAAGCAAAUCCCAUAAAGUUGUUCUCAGUUCGGAUUGUAGUCUGCAACUCGACUACAUGAAGCUGGAAUCGCUAGUAAUCGUAGAUCAGCAUGCUCCGGAGAGGACGUUCCCGGGUCU
rnacentral:rRNA from 1 species